GUACCUCUAGAAUAAGCCACGGCUAACUACGUGCCAGCAGCCGCGGUAAUACGUAGGUGGCAAGCGUUGUCCGGAUUUAUUGGGUUUAAAGGGAGCGUAGGCCGGAGAUUAAGCGUGUUGUGAAAUGUAGUGGCUCAACCUCUGCACUGCAGCGCGAACUGGUCUUCUUGAGUACGCACAACGUGGGCGGAAUUCGUGGUGUAGCGGUGAAAUGCUUAGAUAUCACGAAGAACUCCGAUUGCGAAGGCAGCUCACGGGAGCGCAACUGACGCUGAAGCUCGAAAGUGCGGGUAUCGAACAGGAUUAGAUACCCUGGUAGUCCGCACGGUAAACGAUGGAUGCCCGCUGUUGGCCUGAAUAGGUCAGCGGCCAAGCGAAAGCAUUAAGCAUCCCACCUGGGGAGUACGCCGGCAACGGUGAAACUCAAAGGAAUUGACGGGGGCCCGCACAAGCGGAGGAACAUGUGGUUUAAUUCGAUGAUACGCGAGGAACCUUACCCGGGCUUGAAUUGCAGAGGAAGGAUUUGGAGACAAUGACGCCCUUCGGGGUCUCUGUGAAGGUGCUGCAUGGUUGUCGUCAGCUCGUGCCGUGAGGUGUCGGCUUAAGUGCCAUAACGAGCGCAACCCCUCUCCUUAGUUGCCAUCAGGUUAAGCUGGGCACUCUGGGGACACUGCCACCGUAAGGUGUGAGGAAGGUGGGGAUGACGUCAAAUCAUCAUGCCCCUUAUGACCAGGGCUACACACGUGCUACAAUGGCGUAAACAAAGAGAAGCGAACUCGCGAGGGUAAGCAAAUCUCAAAAAUAACGUCUCAGUUCGGAUUGUAGUCUGCAACUCGACUACAUGAAGCUGGAAUCGCUAGUAAUCGCAGAUCAGAAUGCUGCGGUGAA
rnacentral:rRNA from 1 species